UCUAAAUACUGCACUGGGCAGAAUUGUGUAUCAGGCUCUCCUGUUCAUCAGUCUGAAUAGAAUUAUGGUGACAAUAAAGUCCUGACCUUUUGGUCUAAUACAGACUUUAUCCAACUGGGAUAUCACCCACAUUAGUCAAUAGAAAAUGGUGAAGAGGAGGGUGUAUAUUAAAUUCCUUGUAAGCUGAGGAGCCUAAUCCUGGUUUCAGGUUUUAUAUCUUAGGUGAGAAUCUUAGAGUUGAAUUGCUGCAUCAUAUGUCUCAAUAAUUAUCACUAUAUUCUCUUAAUACACAUCUAAAAAAAGAAGAAUUUCUGCUUCCUGCUAUCUCCUUUCAUAUAACUUGUGGCCCUAUCAUUUUCUCAGGCUGGGAAAAUAAUCUUCCCAGAAGCAGGAGGUAGCAUUAUCCUAGCUCUGUGUUAACAUUCCUCAGAGUACUACAGGCUCAUGCUCAUGUUUCCCACUCCAUGGAAUAUAUUUAUUCAACACCUUUUCUUUUUUUUUUUUCCUUGCUGCAAAAUGUACAGACAAUCCUUUCAACUGCUGAACUGCUGUAUUACAAGAGGCCCCAACCAACUGCUUUUACUCUGGCAAGCUGCUGUGCUUGCUGAGUUUCCUGCAGAGCAUGAUAAUGCAUGUAAAGCAUGGCCAGGAAAAGCCCACUGGGAAGUGCUGCAUCCGAGGAACACGCAGCGGAAUGGGUUUGGAUGUGAUGCCUGUGCUGAGCCUCUGAGCCCAGAAAGAGGCAGUCUUGAGUGUGAGUUCCUUGUGAGGAUGAGGAAAAGUAGAAUUUUACUUGCUGCAGACACCCCAGUGAUCACCCGUGGUUUUGAAGCUGCCCUGCCUUUGAACCUAUCUGUAUGAAGAGCUGGAGUUUAAGAAAUUCUAUUCUUUUGACCUCUUAGUGAAGACAACAAAGACCACUGAUGAGUUUGUCUGCAGUGAAACAUGCUGAUGGGCUCAUCUGAGAGCACGUUGGAAAGCUGAACUCCCAUCUGAAGGCCUCAAUAUUGCAGAUCCUUCCCCAGGUGUCAGGAUUUAAAUGCAGCUAAACACUGUUGGCUUUAACACCAAGUAAAUGGAAAGACUUCUGACCCCAGUCACCACCCUCAUGCUGCUAUUGGACUUGAUGUGGUCCUCACAGAAUUCUUUCUGGCAUGUCUACAGAAGCAGAGCCUGCUUUAUACCUUGCAGUUUGAAGUAGGAUUUUUUUGUUUGUUUACCUAAUUUCCACCAAGCCUAUGAGAGGAAGGAAACAUAUGGCUGCUAUAUAUAGGAAUUAUUUUUCUCCAAAUAAAGUGCAGCUACCUGUGGACUCAACAAAGCAGCUGUUUAAAGAUCACACUAAUUUUUGAACAAGGAAAACAAAACGUGAUUUCAGGAUCUUUGUGCAAGUCAGCAGCAUCUGUGUUUAAUACAGCAAUCAGGCAGCACUUUGCUUUUGCAAAAGCAUAGGAUUCAGUGUAUACCUUUGGGAUUUCAAACUAAUCAAAUUAAAGAUCAAGCCAGGGACUGAUGCUUUAAAGAUGGACGUUGAUGUGAUUUUUUUUUAAUACAAUGCUGUUAGAGUUGGGAGUGAGACACACUCCCUUGUCAUGGUCCUUUUUUUACAAAAUAAGUGACAUUGAAACAAUGUUCAGACAUUGCUGAGUAGACUCUUUCAGCAGUUUGAGGGGAUUUGUCAAACUAUUGCAUUUACCUCUCUGGCAAUCAAUCAGUAAGCUUGGAUGAUCCAAAGGACGAACUUCAGCAAUGACCACUUUUGCAACUGCAUAUUCAGAUGCAAAACUAAAUAAGUGCCAGCACACAGUAAAAAUGGAUAUGGUUUAUAUAGGAAUGGCAGAGAUAGCAUGUGCAUGCUAAUUAUUUUAAUUUUCAUGCACUUGUGCUGCAUUUUCCCAUUCCCACCCUACUGAAGAUGGUCAUAAUGCCAUUGUGGUGUAGAUGAGAAAAUGGACAAAUAAAAAGAAGAGUUGAAAUAUUCUUCAGUUACAGAAUCAAGUUUAUCAGUUUAGUAGCAGGUUUUGUAUUAAAUGUUCUUUUUAUUUGCUUGUUGCUAAACAGCAUUUCAAUAUUGUGAAAGAUUAUGAGUUGGGAAAAGCAAGGCAUUCUUUACACCCUUUCUAUACUGCUAGAACAUUACUGCAAAUAAAUCAGAGAAUUCUCUUGGCUGGUAUUUGGUUUAAGGCUUUUUCUUUCAAGUG